GCCAGGGAUUGUGACGCCCCCUGCCUUGCCUUUGUUUCCUAGAACUGCCUGUUUGCAAACAUUUUUUUAAAAGUCUGAUUUGCCCCCCAAAAGAAUCCAUCUCGCCCAGGUGUGGUGGUGCACACCUGUCAUUCCAGCACUCAGGAGGCUGAGGCAGGAGGAUUGCCAGGAGUUUGAGGCCAGCCUGGGCUACAUAAUGAGACCCUGUCUUAACCCCCUCCCACACACACAACAAACAAAAAACCAAAACCAAAAAGAAUCCACCUCAGAGCAUUUCUUCUCUGAGGCACCAGGAAGACCUGGCAGGCUGCACCCACCCUCUCUGCCCUGCGGCUCGGAAGGCGCCAGCUAGUGGGUGACACAAUCCAGGCUGGGCCCAGGGAGCCGCCAGGCGGAAUUUGCACCCAUCCCACAGUGCCUUCAAUUGCAGUUGAUCGGCAGGACUUUGGAAUUUGUAUCGCAGGGCAGAAGGGCACCCGGACUCCUUCAUCAAACAGGUAGAUAACCAGGCCCCGCCCAUAGGAAAGGGGCCCCUUCCGGCCCUAUCAGGGGCGCAGGCUCUGACUGUGCUGCACGUGGCCUUAACCUUUGACCUCGCCCACGCCCUCCGCUGCUGCCUCCCCCUCUUCUCCCGACCAGUCCGGAGCUCAGCUCGGAGCCCAGCUCGGAGCCCUGGCCUCUGUCCGUUCCUGACCAGCCUGGCCCAGCCCACGUGCCCGCCUUUCUGGCCCAGCCGCGGGGCACCGGGCUGCUGGCCUUGGGCGGUCCUCAGCUGCCUCGGAUCCUGGGAGGCGUGGUCAGGGUGGAGACGGGCCUCCUCCGGGCAGUUGAACGUUUUCCAUUUCCCACACUGAAACUGCGCCCACGGAACACGACUCUCCUCACCCCGGCAACUGCAUUCCACUUCCUGUUUCUGUGCCCCUGCUGACGGAUGCGGCGUGUGAGCGGAAGCCGACGAGAUUUGUUCUUCUGCAUCUGGCUGAUUUCACCGGGACACGCGUCUUCCAGGUUCAUCCACCUUGUCGCAUUGUCAGAAAUUCCCUUCCUUUGUUUUGAGACAGGGUCUCGCUAUGUAGUUCAGGCUGGUCUUGAACUCACAGCAGUCCUGCUUCAGCCUCCCAAAUUCUGAGGUCACAUGCAUGCACCACCACACCCAGCAUGUGUGGGACUUUAAACUCCACCCCCCAACCAAGGAUCUGAGGCAAACUCCAGGGCCUGGGGCACGUUUGAACCUUGCCUAUUUUGGUGUUUGUGUUAGCAAUUCCAGUAGAGGUGUGUAGGUUUGCAAACCAAACAUAGAACAAGGGCUGGCACCUCAGAAUGACAAUUUCAAAAUACUUGAGGAGCCGGGUGUGGUGGUGCAUGCCUGUCAUCCCAGCAUUCAGGAGGCUGAGGCUGGAGGAUCUCCAUGAGUUCAAGGCCAGCCUGGGCUACAUAGUGAGUUCGAGGCCAGUCUGGACUACACAGUGAGACCCCAUCUCAAAAACACAAAACAAGGGCCAGGGAUUUAGCUCAGUGGUUCCGCUGCCUGCCUCGCAAGCCAAGGACCCGAGUUCGAUCUCCAGUACCAAAAAACAACAACAACAACAAAACAAAAAACAAUAAAAGUCCAUGAAUAGAAGGCCUGCCAAUGUGAAUGAAUUAAGAUCUAUCCUUAGAAUGGAAUAAUUCUCAGCUGAAAUAUAAUCUAGGAUGUUCUUUAUGUAUUGAUAAAGUAUAUUAGUU
rnacentral:lncRNA from 1 species